GGGCGCGGCAAUGGUAAGACGCUACUCUCACACAGUAGAGACUCGGGGUUCGAUUCCUCGCGGGCCCA
rnacentral:tRNA from 2 species